CGAACCCGGGACCUUUACCGUACUGUGAUGAGCGCCGUGGCAACGCCUAACCGUUGCGGCCACCGACGCCCCUAAGGUCUUAUUAGACUGUUUUAUUUGUGUGUCUGUUAGCAUUUUGCAAUUAUUUAAAUGGGCUAUGAUUUGCCAAUUUAUAUUCUCUUUAAAUAAUAUUUAACAUAAUAUGUACUGUUUACUACAUUACAAC